UACGAAGGGGGCUAGCGUUGUUCGGAAUUACUGGGCGUAAAGCGCACGUAGGCGGAUAUUUAAGUCAGGGGUGAAAUCCCAGAGCUCAACUCUGGAACUGCCUUUGAUACUGGGUAUCCUGAGUAUGGAAGAGGUAAGUGGAAUUCCGAGUGUAGAGGUGAAAUUCGUAGAUAUUCGGAGGAACACCAGUGGCGAAGGCGGCUUACUGGUCCAUUACUGACGCUGAGGUGCGAAAGCGUGGGGAGCAAACAGGG
rnacentral:rRNA from 1 species